rnacentral:rRNA from 1 species
AUUGAACGCUGGCGGCAGGCCUAACACAUGCAAGUCGAGCGGAUGAAGGGAGCUUGCUCCUGGAUUCAGCGGCGGACGGGUGAGUAAUGCCUAGGAAUCUGCCUGGUAGUGGGGGAUAACGUCCGGAAACGGGCGCUAAUACCGCAUACGUCCUGAGGGAGAAAGUGGGGGAUCUUCGGACCUCACGCUAUCAGAUGAGCCUAGGUCGGAUUAGCUAGUUGGUGGGGUAAAGGCCUACCAAGGCGACGAUCCGUAACUGGUCUGAGAGGAUGAUCAGUCACACUGGAACUGGGACACGGUCCAGACUCCUACGGGAGGCAGCAGUGGGGAAUAGUAGACAAUGGGCGAAAGCCUGAUCUAGCCAUGCCGCGUGUGUGAAGAAGGUCUUCGGAUUGUAAAGCACUUUAAGUUGGGAGGAAGGGCAGUAAGUUAAUACCUUGCUGUUUUGACGGUACCAACAGAAUAAGCACCGGCUAACUUCGUG